UUAGUUAAAGCCAAACUAGAGGCGUGUCACUGUUAAUGAUAGAACUGAAAUUUAAUUUCUAACUAAG
rnacentral:tRNA from 1 species